rnacentral:rRNA from 1 species
UACAGAGGUCCCAAGCGUUGUUCGGAUUCACUGGGCGUAAAGGGUGCGUAGGUGGUGAGGUAAGUCGGAUGUGAAAUCUCCGAGCUCAACUCGGAAAUGGCAUUGGAAACUACCUUGCUUGAGGGUUGGAGGGGGACUGGAAUUCUCGGUGUAGCAGUGAAAUGCGUAGAUAUCGAGAGGAACACCGGUGGCGAAGGCGGGUCUCUGGGCAGUGAACUGACGUGAGGAGCGAAAGCGUGGGGAGCGAACAGG